rnacentral:rRNA from 1 species
GACAGAGGGUGCAAACGUUGUUCGGAAUUAUUGGGCGUAAAGCGCGUGUAGGCGGCUUUGCAAGUCGGGUGUGAAAGCCCUCAGCUUAACUGAGGAAGUGCGCCCGAAACUGCUUGGCUUGAGUACCGGAGAGGAUGGCGGAAUUCCCCAAGUAGAGGUGAAAUUCGUAGAUAUCGAGAGGAACACCUGCGGCGAAGGCGGGUUGCUGGGCUGAUACUGACGCUGAGGCGCGAAAGCCAGGGGAGCGAACGGG